rnacentral:rRNA from 1 species
GACGAACGCUGGCGGCGUGCUUAACACAUGCAAGUCGAACGGAAAGGCCCUGCUUUUGUGGGGUGCUCGAUUGGCGAACGGGUGAGUAACACGUGAGUAACCUGCCCCUGACUUUGGGAUAAAUUCAGGAAACUGGGGCUAAUACCGGAUAGGAGCUCCUGCUGCAUGGUGGGGGUUGGAAAGUUUCGGCGGUUGGGGAUGGACUGGCGGGUUAUGAGCUUGUUGGGCGGGUAGUGGCAUACCAAGGCUUUGACGGGUAGCCGGCCUGAGCGGGUGACCAGCCACAAGGGGACUGAGAGACGGACCAGACUCCUACGUGACGCAGCAGGGGGGAAUAUGACACAGUGGGCGGGAGUCUGAUGCAGAAACGCCGCGUGCGGGAUGACGGCCUAUGGGUUGUAAACCGCUUUCGCCUGUGACGAAGAGAGAGUGACGGUAAUGGGUAAGGAAGCACCGGCUAACUACGUG